GACGAACGCUGGCGGCGUGCCUAAUACAUGCAAGUCGAACGCAGUUGAGAACGGGUGAGUAACGCGUAGGUAACUGCCUCAUAGCGGGGGAUAACUAGGGGAAACGAUAGCUAAUACGUCAUACUGUGGGAGGGACCUGCGUUUGAUUGGCUAGUUGGUGAGGUAAAGGCUCACCAAGGCGACGAUACAUAGCCGACCUGCGUGGGUGAUCGGCCACCCUGGGACCGAGGAACGGCCCAGGCCCCUUCGGGAGGGAGCAGUAGGGGAUCUUGCGCCAUUGGCGGAAGGUUUACCGAGCAACGCCGCGGUAGUGAAAGAGGGUGUCGGAACGUAAAGACCUUGUGUUAGAGAAACGGUAUCUAACCAGAAAGGGACGGCUAACUACGUGCCAGCAGCCGCGGUAAUAC
rnacentral:rRNA from 1 species